UUGAAGAUCAAGCGUAAGAAGGGCAUUCGGUGGAUGCCUUGGCACCAGAAGG
rnacentral:rRNA from 1 species